AAAGGAAUAGACGGGGACCCGCACAAGCAGCGGAGCAUGUGGUUUAAUUCGAAGCAACGCGAAGAACCUUACCAAGACUUGACAUUUCAAGAAAUCCCUAGAAAUAGGGCCCUCCUUCGGGACUUGAGGACAGGUGGUGCAUGGUUGUCGUCAGCUCGUGUCGUGAGAUGUUAGGUUAAGUCCUGUAACGAGCGCAACCCUUAUCAAUAGUUGCCAAUAUUUAGUUAGGAACUCUAUUGAGACUGCCGCAGUUAAUGCGGAGGAAGGUGAGGAUGACGUCAAAUCAUCAUGCCCCUUACGUCUUGGGCUACACACGUGCUACAAUGGCCAUUACAAAGAGUCGCGAGAUGGUAACAUGGAGCAAAUCUCAUAAAAAUGGUCUCAGUUCAGAUUGUGGGCUGCAACCCGCCCACAUGAAGCUGGAGUUGCUAGUAAUCCCGAAUCAGAAUGUCGGGGUGAAUGCGUUCCCGGGUCUUGCACACACCGCCCGU
rnacentral:rRNA from 1 species